rnacentral:rRNA from 1 species
CGCCCCUUGGUUUUAUAUAAGGGGUUGGGCCUGCCCGGUGAGGAUUUUAAACGGCCGCAGUUAGAAGCUGUGCUAAGGUAGCGUAAUAAAUUGUCUUUUAAUUGAAGAAAGGAAUGAAAGGUUUGACGUAAUAGUGACUGUCUCAUCUGUAGAUUAAGAAGUUUUCGUUUAAGUGAAAAGUCUUAAAUGAAAUUAGAAGACGAGAAGACCCUGUCGAGCUUAUAUAUCUUUAUUAGAGGGUAGUAAAGUAAAGUUUAGUUGGGGCAACUAGGAAGCAGAAAAGACUUCCUAUAAAAAUAUGAAGAUCCAAUAUUAUUGAAAAUAGAAGAAGCUACCGCAGGGAUAACAGCGUUAUUUCUUCUGAGAGAUCUAAUUGAAGAAGAAGAUUGCGACCUCGAUGUUGGAUUAGAAUUCUUAUUGGCGUAGAGGCUAAUUAAGUAGGACUGUUCGUCCUUUAAAUUCUACA